rnacentral:misc_RNA from 1 species
AACGCACGAGACCUGCGGACCUGCGGAGGGAUCAUUACUGAAUUAAUGGAAGGUUGUAGCUGGCUCCUCGGAGCAUGUGCUCGCCUUUCAAAUUCAUCUUAACCACCUGUGCACUUUUGUAGACUGUGGUAACCCUCAGUGCAAUAGCACUGGAUUGAGAGACUGCGAUCUUAGCUGUCUUUCAACAUCACAGUCUACGUUUGUAUCUAUAUACUACAGUCUUAGAAUGUUUGUUGUGGG